CACGAAGGGGGCUAGCGUUGCUCGGAAUCACUGGGCGUAAAGGGUGCGUAGGCGGGUCUUUAAGUCAGGGGUGAAAUCCUGGAGCUCAACUCCAGAACUGCCUUUGAUACUGAGGAUCUUGAGUUCGGGAGAGGUGAGUGGAAUUCCUAGUGUAGAGGUGAAAUUCGUAGAUAUUAGGAAGAACACCAGUGGCGAAGGCGGCUCACUGGCCCGGUACUGACGCUGAGGCGCGAAAGCGUGGGGAGCAAACAGG
rnacentral:rRNA from 1 species